rnacentral:lncRNA from 1 species
ACAGAAUCCACCCUUUUCCUUUGGAAUUCCCUCCUUCUCCUGACGCUGACAAUACCCUUGCCCUUCAGAGGACCUGCCUUCCCACUCUCCAUUGGACACUGUGGAACUUCUUGGCGUCCAGUCCCAAGGGCACAGCCACCGCAGGACUUCACGUCUGCCUGCCUGAGCAGGGCUGGUGUCUUAUGAAUGGCAGCUGAGACCCAGUUCAGGCUCACGACCUCAUAUCACAGGUCAGAAAACAAAAAAUGAACUCAAAGGAAAAUGACUAAUCACCGACCUACUCAGAAUCAUUGGUCCCCGGCAAGCAAGGGUGAUCCUGCAUCAAUCUAUUAAUUUUCAUUUCCAGGGUUCUCAGAUGUAAAACAAAUGUUUGAUGUAAUCCGCAACACUGCUCUGUUAUAAUUAAACAACCUCCUACUGCCUAAAUUGGCAAAGCACUCCAUCGAUCAGUGAUAAAUGUGGUCCUUGGGAGACUGCUUUUAUGUUUGUUUCACUCAUGGGAAAAUGGCCACAACCCUUUUGUAAGAUUCCUCGGCUGCUGCUCUCCCCAGGUUACAAUCAUAGUAACUGCUGCUUCUGGGAUGCCUCGCUGUAAUCCUCAUGUUCAAUGAUGGCUCAAUGGAUAUGUGCUUGAAGGAGAGUGAGUGAUGGGGAGUCUACAGUUAUGAAUAAAAUAUAUUCAAGUCAAUAAACCCUUCCUGGGUUCCUUUGCCUCACCAUUUUAUGCACAAUUUAUGAAGCACCCUACACAUACCAGGAGCUAUUUGCAAUGUUUAAGAUGUGGGAGCCCCCAUAAUUCUAAAUAUGUCAUGUAUCAUCUACUUUCCUCUUUGCAAAGUGGAGGGGUUGGAUUCCUGCCAGGCCUGAUAAUAUAGAUCUGCUGUUCACACAUAGCAUAUAGGAGGCCCUGAUGACUUCCUACUCAUCGCUUC